AGCGGAGGAAAAGAAACCAACAGGGAUUGCCUUAGUAGCGGCGAGUGAAGCGGCAAAAGCUCAAAUUUGAAAUCUGGCGCCUUCGGUGUCCGAGUUGUAAUUUGAAGAUUGUAACCUUGGGGUUGGCUCUUGUCUAUGUUUCUUGGAACAGGACGUCACAGAGGGUGAGAAUCCCGUGCGAUGAGAUGCCCAAUUCUAUGUAAGGUGCUUUCGAAGAGUCGAGUUGUUUGGGAAUGCAGCUCUAAGUGGGUGGUAAAUUCCAUCUAAAGCUAAAUAUUGGCGAGAGACCGAUAGCGAACAAGUACAGUGAUGGAAAGAUGAAAAGAACUUUGAAAAGAGAGUGAAAAAGUACGUGAAAUUGUUGAAAGGGAAGGGUUUGAGAUCAGACUCGAUAUUUUGUGAGCCUUGCCUUCGUGGCGGGGUGACCCGCAGCUUAUCGGGCCAGCAUCGGUUUGGGCGGUAGGAUAAUGGCGUAGGAAUGUGACUUUACUUCGGUGAAGUGUUAUAGCCUGCGUUGAUGCUGCCUGCCUAGACCGAGGACUGCGAUUUUAUCAAGGAUGCUGGCAUAAUGAUCCCAAACCGCCCGUCUUG
rnacentral:rRNA from 1 species